GUUGAGUGAUUCUUUUUUUUUAGUUGAGAUGAGCGACGAACGGCUCAGUAACGGGCGAUGAUCUGUUCAGCGGAAGCGGUCGACCUCGGGAAACGGAGGGGAGAACGUGGAGCUUGCGCGUUUGGUAGAUUAGCGUGUGAGUGUGUUGAGUGAGUUGCCAUCCCAUCAGCUAGUAAGUAGGGUAAGGGCCUACUUAGGCGUAGACGGGUACGGGGAAUAGGGGUUUGAUUCCGGAGAGGGAGCCUGAGAGAUGGCUACCAUGUCCAAGGACGGCAGCAGGCGCGAAAAUUACCGAAGGCUUGAGAGUGCGGUAGUGAUGAGACGUAUGAGUUGAGAGGAGGGUAAAGAUCUCCGAUGUAACUGGAGGGAAAGUCUGGUGCCAGCAGCCGCGGUAAUACCAGCUCCAGGAGUGUCUAUGAAUAUUGCUGCGAUUAAAAAGUCCGUAGUCAUGUAUGUUGUUUUUUAAUUCCUCGCUGGGCGUGUAAAGCACUAGCUUAAAGGGUGUGAGUGUCCAAACCGGGGAUGACAUUGGGAUAGUGUGGGGGGUAAUGAAUCGGGGCACGAGAGGUGAAAUUUGAUGACUGUUCCGGGUCGUCCGGAGGCGAAGGCGUUACCCAAGCACGAAUCUGCCGAUCAAGGACGUAGGCUGGAGGAUCGAACACGAUUAGAUACCGUAGUAGUUCCAGCAGUAAACGAUGUAGACGAGCCGGUUGUGGUGCGGAUUGCUUUUCCUGCGAGUUGGGGGGAGUGUGAUUCUGCAUUGCGGUGGUGAAUAGAAAUAGAGAGUAGUACUUCGGGGAGAGUACACGCGCAAGCGAUAAAUUUAAAGGAAAUUGACGGAAGAACACCACAAGGAGUGGAGUGUGCGGCUUAAUUUGACUCAACGCGGGACAGCUUACCAGUGCAGAAGGUCGUAAGAGCGUGAACGCGAUAGACUGGAGAGUGGUGCAUGGCCGUUAUAGAUGGGUGUAUUGAUAUUGCUAUUAAGUUACGUAAUCCAUAAAACGUGCGUUUUCUGUCUAGUAGAUUUAUUUUUGGGUUGGUUAGGCGGGAGAGACGGUUACCCCUCGGUAAAGGAAGGAGCACGCAAGAACAGGUCAGUGAUGCCCUCAGACGUACUGGGCUGCACGCGCACUACAUUUGUUGGUGUAAUAUUAUUGUAUUAUAUAGAGAGAAAGCCAAUAUGGAGGAACUGUGUACUGAAAGGUACUCACGAACGAGGAAUUGCUAGUAAUCGCGAGUUCAGGAGAGCGCGAAGAAUGUGUCCCUGUUCUUUGUACACACCGCCCGUCGUUAUCGAAGAUGGGGCUGCGUAUGAACGAGUUUUUAGUGAGUGAAUGCGCGGUUCUAGAUCUGAUACAAGUCGUAACAAGGCAGCUGUAGGAGAACCUGCAGCUGGAUCAAGAGAGGUUUAAGUUCUUAUUAGUAAUGAGUUUUAUUAGUUAGUAUUAUAUUGUAUUAUGGUAUAUAUUAUAUUUAGACUCACACAUGGGAUCACUAGGCUCCGCGAGCGAGGAAGGACGAAACGUAUUCGAGUAGCAAAGAGAGUUGCUAUGUGUCCGAAUUUGGGGAGACCCAGACGACCCCUCGGAGUUAAGCAUAUGAGUAGAGGGAGGAGAAGAAACUAACAAGGAUUCCCGUAGUAGUGGCGAACGAACAGGGAAGAAGCCCGAGUAUAUUCUGCGUCUAGGCGUGGAGAUGACGGGGGUGUUUGGCGUUGCGAAGAUACGAGGUGUGUGAAAGGCCUGUAGCGACGUUGGGCAGCCUGCGGUAUGGUAUUAAUUGUACCGUUUAGAGCGGAGUACCCGUGUUUGGUAGUACACGGGGAAUCGAUGGAAUCUUCCACCGAAGGCAAAAUAUAUGCGGAGACCGAUAGUGUAAAAGUAGGGUGACCGAA
rnacentral:rRNA from 1 species